rnacentral:ribozyme from 1 species
UGUCGAGCAACUCCUAUCCUUACCUCCUCGUGGUACUGGCCUGGGUCGAGUAACCCGGUGGAAGAUCAGGAACCUAACCCCGGUGGGAACUUUGGUCGUAUGCUGCCAGGGAAGG